rnacentral:rRNA from 1 species
GACGUAGGGCGCGAGCGUUGUCCGGAUUUAUUGGGCGUAAAGAGCUCGUAGGCGGUUCGUUGCGUCGGCUGUGAAAACCCGCAGCUCAACUGUGGGCUUGCAGCUGAUACGGGCGGGCUGGAGUUCGGUAGGGGAGACUGGAAUUCCUGGUGUAGCGGUGAAAUGCGCAGAUAUCAGGAGGAACACCGGUGGCGAAGGCGGGUCUCUGGGCCGAUACUGACGCUGAGGAGCGAAAGCGUGGGGAGCGAACAGG